rnacentral:lncRNA from 1 species
CCUUCUCACCUUUUCCCUUUUACCCAUUGGCGUGAGUAUUUUUCCUCAGCUUCCCUCUUUCUCCGUAUUCUGCUCCUCCUCAGUCCCAUCCUCCACGCUUUGGAAGCUACUGCCUUACUGCCCGGAGCGCCGUCGUCCCCGAACCUCCCCUGCUUCUCCCUUUCCUUCUGUUCCGGUUUCUGGUCGUAACUCAAGAGCAAACCACCGUACUGCAAAGGAACCAGAUAUUGUGCUCGCGGUUCCAAACCGGGCAUGGGCACCGAAUGCUUCUCGAUAAAUCCCCUUAUGGUCUCUGAGCAUUAAAGAAAGCAAGGGAGGAAAACAUGCGCCCAAGCUCGUUCGCAGGAACAUGUUCGCGUGUCUGCGCCUGUGUGCGCAGCCAGUUUUCUGGCUGAGGAUCGCUCGCCAACUACAGACAUCACCCGCCCAGGACCCGGUGCCACACUCACCCAGAAGACGAAACUCCACAGGAGCGAGAAGAGGAGUCCAUUUCUCCGUCGGCUCGGCACGGCACGGGGAUGCAGGCCCCUGAUUCAGUACGUUCUGUGAAAGUGGAGCGAGAAGCCAAGACGUGGAUCGAGAAGCCCCGUGGGGCGGGUCUCAGGGUGGCCCAAAAGACCCCUGUUCACGCCACUACCAGCCUAACUUUAGGAACUGUCGUCCACCUGGCUUUUAUUAUACUGCCUUAAACAUAUUCACUUUUUUGAGACUCUAGAAAUUUCACAAGUUUUGGGGUAGAGCACACUGGGCUUUGGGUGUGUUUCUCAUGAGGGCACUGACGCUGAAUGGUGCAGUGAGAAAGGACGGUAGAAACCACUGCCUUUGCUUUUACCAUUGAAGAAACUGAGGUCCUGUGACUUUCCCGAGGUCAUCGGAAUCUGCCUUGCACAGGAGACUUAAAAUAGUUGCCAGCAGAUAAAAGAAUGAGCAAAACCACAUCUACUCCAAUUUGUUAAGUCUGAAAGAAAGUAAUUGAGGGGGGAUUCCUCUUUGGGGAAAUAUUUAUUUCCUGCAUUGAAAAUAGUUUAAUGUUAGUAAACAUAUAAAAAGUAUUUUAAAUUCAAGUUAUUCUUUAUUUCUUAUGUUACAUAAGGUACUGAAGUUAGCCAAGGUUGCUUUUGUGUUAUAAUGAUGCAGCUGCUGCCAACCAGAAGUACAUUUACGGUCUGUCAGUAAAGAAAACAAAAACUGCCUGUUGGUAAAAAUCUAUUAGAAAAUAUUUGUCAGUAAAUUUGUCACAAUAUUCCA